rnacentral:rRNA from 1 species
CCUACGGGGGACAGCAGUGGGGAAUAUUGCACAAUGGGCGAAAGCCUGAUGCAGCAACGCCGCGUGAAGGAAGAAGGGUUUCGGCUCGUAAACUUCUAUCAACAGGGACGAAAGAAAUGACGGUACCUGAAUAAGAAGCCCCGGCUAACUACGUGCCAGCAGCCGCGAUAAUACGUAGGUGGCAAGCGUUGUCCGGAUUUACUGGGUGUAAAGGGCGUGUAGCCGGGAAGGCAAGUCAGAUGUGAAAUCUGGAGGCUCAACCUCCAAAUUGCAUUUGAAACUGUUUUUCUUGAGUACUGGAGAGGCAGACGGAAUUCCUUGUGUAGCGGUGAAAUGCGUAGAUAUAAGGAGGAACACCAGUGGCGAAGGCGGUCUGCUGGACAGCAACUGACGGUGAGGCGCGAAAGCGUGGGGAGCAAACAGGAUUAGAUACCCCGGUAGUC